rnacentral:rRNA from 1 species
UACAGAGGGUGCGAGCGUUAAUCGGAAUUACUGGGCGUAAAGCGCGCGUAGGCGGCUUUGUAAGUCGGAUGUGAAAUCCCCGGGCUUAACCUGGGAACUGCAUUCGAGACUGCAUAGCUAGAGUAUGGGAGAGGGAAGUGGAAUUUCAGGUGUAGCGGUGAAAUGCGUAGAUAUCUGAAGGAACAUCAGUGGCGAAAGCGACUUCCUGGACCAAUACUGACGCUCAUGUGCGAAAGCGUGGGGAGCGAACAGG